rnacentral:lncRNA from 1 species
CUCAUGCCCAGAAAGAGAGUAAAGCCAUGUCGAAACUCUAAAAUUCCUCGAGUGUUUUUCCAGCUACCUGCCACUCACCCACCAACUCCCCUCGGACUUCAAUUAGAACCUGAUAAUUGGCGUCACAAACAGGAUCCUGAGGUUAACAUGCUCCAACUGCAUCAUGAACUGGGCCCACACGUAGGCUGAGGUGACCAAUAUUUCCAACUGUUGGCUCUGCACCACUCUUCCAGCAGCAGUUGUGGACAGCUUGCCUUGGCACAUGCAUUCAGUGUCUGCAGAGAACUGGACAUGGCUGGAGACUUGGGGUCCCAUGGCUGACACCUGGAACGCAAUGCAGCAAGCUUUGGACAAAAGACACUGCAAGACCCAUGGCACACACACCCCUGGCUGGCCUGUAGUGUUUAUGAUGGGUGGGGCUGGCUAGUGGGGGAACAUGUAGUACCCCUAGCCCAGG